CCUACGGGAGGCAGCAGUGAGGAAUAUUGGUCAAUGGGCUUACGCCUGAACCAGCCAAGUCGCGUGAGGGAAGACUGCCCUACGGGUUAUAAACUUCUUUUAUAAAGGAAUAAAGUGAGGCACGUGUGCCUUUUUGUAUGUACUUUAUGAAUAAGGAUCGGCUAACUCCGUGCCAGCAGCCGCGGUAAUACGGAGGAUCCGAGCGUUAUCCGGAUUUAUUGGGUUUAAAGGGAGCGUAGAUGGGUUGUUAAGUCAGUUGGGAAAGUUUGCGGCUCAACCGUAAAAUUGCAAUUGAUACUGGCAGCCUUGAGUACAGUUGAGGUAGGCGGAAUUCGUGGUGUAGCGGUGAAAUGCUUAGAUAUCACGAAGAACUCCGAUUGCGAAGGCAGCCUACUAAACUGCCACUGACAUUGAUGCUCGAAAGUGUGGGUAUCAAACAGGAUUAGAUACCCGUGUAGUC
rnacentral:rRNA from 1 species